AAAAACAUAGUUGGUAAGUUGUGUUUGUAUCAUUCAGUUGGAAGAUACUAACAAGGUAAUCGAUUUUGUUUUAAAAUUUAACAGCAAAAAAUAAAAUAAAACAUGAAUCAUUAUACCGGAAAAUACUAUUGCUAUGUCAACAUCCUGUGUUGAGACGAGUCUUAAUUAUAAAGAAACUUUUAGUAAAUUCAGGAAAAAAGACCUGAAUUGAUAAUCAUUGCUGUUUUUCUUAUACUUGUAAACAUGAUCUAAAGACAAUCGAGUGCCUUUAUGACGUGAUAUCUAGCUCGAGUAUAAAUUUUGUUUUAUGACCUUACAUGAUUGUAUUUGAAGGAGAUCAUAAGAUGACAUUGAUAAGGAAAUACAGCGACCUAUAGUUGUUAAUUUGUGUUUCAUUUUGGUCUCUUUGAGAUUUGUAUCAUUGAAAAUUAUACCACAUCUUCUUUUUUUACGCAUUAUUUUUGUCUCUUGGCUUUUUUGUUUUUGUUGUUGACUGCUAUCUCAUGAAACUGCAUGCGAACUGUACUUAGAUAAGUUAAAUCAUAUUAUUACAUCAUGGAAUACAGGUACGUACGUAGAUAUUGCAAAACAAAGAAAAUGUUUUGUUGUUUUAGUUUGUAUAUUGUAGAUGAAAGUCACAUGUAUUUUGUUGCUUUCUUUGGUCCUUGUCUGCCUUUUUGAGGAUUGCGAAGCAUGGAGGCGUAGAAGAUUUCGAAUUCGAAUUCGAGGAAGGAAGUUUUUUCGGAAAGUUGUAGUUCCUUAUUUGAUUAAGACCCACGGUAAGAGAGAUGCUCUUCUUAGCAACCCAAAUUUAUUCGUUGCUAAGGAAGUAUACGAUCGCUACAAAGCGCAGAAAAUGCAAGCAGAAUUAUCUGGACACCACACAUGUGUAGCUGAUGAUGUAUGCGGGAUGUCAUGUAUCAAAAACGAAUGUACUUGGUACUGUGACAACAUUUGUAACAUAAUGGCCGAUGACAAGGUGAGACUUAGUUAUAAGAAAAGCACACGCAUUUUUUGUUUUUAAGGAAACAAGUUUAUUUUAUUCAACACUGAUGAAUGAAACGCUUUUUUAAUUUUGUCACGAAUCGGGGAAACUUUUGAAUCCAAAAAACAUUAAUAGGUUUGAGAAUUAAAUAAGAGAGCCGAAAGAUACCAACAUGAUAUUCAAACUCAUAAGUCAAGACAAACAUACACCGUCAUGAUAAAAGUAAAAAAAAAGGAACACACAACAUAUAAAAACUAAGAGUCCCAAGAAAAACAAUCCACACCAAAACAUGUGAAAGAUCUCAGUAAAUGCAUCGAUCAGAGUCUGAAGCAGACAUCCUUACACAUUGUGUAACAUAAAUAAGGAUAAAAUAUAUUUUUUUUUAUAAUAAACAUUCCUAUAAAAAUAAAGAAUCAGAUAAUAAUUGAUAUCCGUUUACAAUAGGAAAUAGAAAAUGAAUAUGUUAUAAUCAUGAUAAUGUCUUGAUAUUUGAAUAUUGUUUUUACAAUUUCACCUUUCAAACCAAGAUGAUAAAAAAUUACACUAACAUGCAUAUUUUCUAUAUACAUUUACAGUUUAACUGGCGAGGGGAAUUGGUUGCAUUACCAUGCAAAUUUUCAGCAUACGACUAUACUGGUGCUGGAUACUUUUAUCCGGCAGAUCUGGCCUUCCAUGUCAAUGGGCAUGGCAGAGAAAGCGACAAUAUGAUGGUUUUUAAACGUUUAGAUCAAAAUGGUGAGUGUAUAAUAUUCAAAUAUUGGAGACAAAGUAUAUUUAUGUAACAGAAAUUAUUUCAAGAACUAGAUAUACUAUUUAUGAUUCCGAUGGGUUAACAUUCCCUCGAACAGCAACAUUGCUGUAAAACAAGAUAAUUUAUUAUCCAACUCAAAUUCGGGCAUUACAAAUAGAUUGUGCUAAGAACUUUGAAUAGGAGAACUGUAAUGAUUUCCCAAACUGUCCAUGUCGAAAAAGCUAUGUUCCUUUAAUUUUACAAUUCUUCAAGUAGCAAAGCAACCAUGCAAUUUGAGCAACGGAGGAAUUCCAUGAUACUAAAUAAGUCUUUCCUAUUCCAUGUAUUCAAUAUCAUUACACAAAAAAACAGUAAAUAACAAAAAUACCGAGCUCCAUAGGAAAUUCAAAACUCUCUGUGUGUUACGUUUUUGAUAUGCCUCCUUUUCAGUUAUCAAUUAUUUGUCAUUAAAGGUGAUGGCAGGGUAUCAGAAAUUGAGUUUGGUAAUACAAAGAAACAUCUUCUAAUUGACCAAGAAACCUGUUAAAGAUUUGAUGUGAGUUAUUAUUUAAUACUAUUUUACUUUGAAGUUAUGACAUGCAUUUACUUUUAAUAGAUUAUCAUUAGAAACAAGUAAUCAUAAAGUUUUAUCAAAGAUAUUUAGAAGAAUUGUAAUCUUAGAUAUCUGUCAUUUCAAAAAGUUUCAAUUUGAAUUCCUGUAAAAAAUAUUAUAUUAUAAUCUUAAAUUCUUAUUUAUGAUAUAAAAAUGUGAAUUUUUAGAUUAACAGUGAAUACUGUCAUAUGUGUAAAAAAAAAAAAAAAACAUACUUUCAAACAAAAUAAUCAAUGUCAAAAUGAUUGUUUCGAUUACAUGGAAAUUUAAGUUUUCAAGUUAGUUGAUCAAAUUUACAUGCGAUUAUUUGACAUCCUAUUUUAUGAUAUUUGCGUGUGUUUAUUUUUCGCGAUAGUUAUUAAAACUGUUUUCUAAUUUACAGGUAAUUGGAAAAGAACAACGCCAGAUACACCUAAAAUACGUUUGACAGUUGAUAAAAGUGUUAUUCUUAUUUUUCACGUUAAUCAUAUAUUAUAGUUAGCUGGAAAAUGUUUUUUGCAAAAUAAAUUAUGCAUCAUUCAGAAGUUCGGUUGGUGUUCGUUUGUUUUGUUGUUUUUCGUAUUUUUUCUGUUAUUAAUUAAAUAGACUCUUAGUUGUAAUUUUUGAAUCGUUUAAUUAUCUUAUGGCGAAACCUUUGAAAGUCAAUUAUACAGAAUGGGGUUUUUCAUGGUUGAAUGCUUUACAGUGACAUAUAAUUGAUUGAAUUCAAUCAUUUGAAAGCUGACGGAUAAUUGUCUCAUUGGUAAUCAACCUAUAUUCUCAUUUUUAUAAAAUAUAAAUUCAACGUCACAAUCAUUUAUAUUAACAAUCCCCCAAAAUAAAUCUCAUUAGUUGUGUGUAUGCUUCAGAAAAUAAUUUUAAAAAAAUCGCAAUGCCAGCUGAUAAGACUGUUGGUGGGACUUAAUAUAUAUUUAUAUUGAAGAUUACGUUUAGUUUCAUUGAUUGAAGUUCAGUGAAAAAUAGAAAUACACACAUGACAAAAUAUUACUAGAUACCCGAAAGAGCACGUGUUGCACACCGGCACUUCAUUAAAGUGAAUUAUUCUUUUUAAAAAUGGCAGUUUUAGUCAUAUUUCAUCUUUUACUGCUGAUAAUUUUCCCUUCUUAUAAUUUGUUUUUGUCUUGUAUAGUGUUAAAGAUAAUAGACAAAAAACGCAUGUUUUUAAACAUUUACAUCAUAGGAUAACAACUCAAAUAACUAGUUCACCGCAGAUUUAGGCUAAAAUGUCUGAUUUGUAGAUCUUGUCUUGCUUAUAUCAAAGGGUUGUUUUUCUCUAUAAAAGUUAUCAAGAAAAUUGGCAAAAAAUGGUUAUCAUGUGAGAAUUGAUAUUUAUCAAUGAAGGACAAACACUUCAAGGAGUCUAAUAACGGUUUUGGUCAUGUAAGAUAUCUUCUUGGUCAUUUUUGUUCUUUGAAGGCUCUAUCGUUAAAAGUUUUUACGAUAUAAGCCAAAACACAAAAAAAAAAUAAAAAUAAAAAAUGGUAAAAUGACCAUCAAAGGGCAAGGAAUCGUCUUGACUUAUUUGUAGAUAUUGUUAUAAUUGAUUAUUUUGGUAUUGAAAUGUUUCGAAAUAAUAAAUGUAAAAAAUGGUAAAAUUCGUUAUUUAAGGGCAAUAAAAAAGGUUUUAUCUUUCUGAAGAGAUUUUCAAAAUAAUCAGCAAAAUUUGAAUUUUACCCAUGUGUUCUAUCUUUAACUAUGUCGGCCAUCUUGGUUGGAAGGCGGGGGUCAUCAGACACAUUUUUAAAACUAGAUACCCCACUGAUGAUAAAGGUUCGAUUAUUUUUGACUCAGUUGUUCCAGAGAAAAAGGUUUUGUUAAAGUUAACAAACGAGAAUAAUAAAAGUGGAUCUUUGAUAUUUUUUAUUUCAUUUUCAUGUCUUUAUUGUCUUAAACAUCCCGUGAUUGUGUUAUUGUGAUAUGGUAAUUUUUGUAUUCUUGUCUUUCAUUGUUACUUAUGUGCUUUGUCUACAUGUCCUUUUGUGUUUCUUUGUGGCAUAUGACUUGGUUGUGUGUCUGUAUUGUCUUUCAUUUUUUGCCAAUGUGCUUCACGUACGAUUAGCUAUAGUUGUUAUGUGUCCUUUGGUCUUUUGUCUCAUUUGAAAUCAUACCACAUCUUCUUUUUUAUAUGUAUUUUAUUUCUAUAGACUAUCCC
rnacentral:lncRNA from 1 species